CCCUUAGAUGUUCUGGGCCGCACGCGUGCUACACUGAGUAAAUCAAUGGGUAAGGGAACACGAAAGUGCAACCUAAUCUUGAAAUUUGCUCGUGAUGGGGAUCGACGGUUGCAAUUUUCCGUCGUGAACGAGGAAUACCUUGUAGGCGCGUGCCAUCAUCACGCGCCGAAUACGUCCCUGCCCUUUGUACACACCGCCCGUCGCUCCUACCGAUUGAGUGAUCCGGUGAGGCUCUGGGACCUGGACGGAAAGAGCGUUUCGCUUGUUCUGUUUGGGAAACUUGGUCGAACCUUAUCAUUUAGAGGAAGGAGAAGUCGUAACA
rnacentral:rRNA from 1 species